GACGAACGCUGGCGGCGUGCUUAACACAUGCAAGUCGAACGGAAAGGCCCUGCUUGCAGGGUACUCGAGUGGCGAACGGGUGAGUAACACGUGGGUGAUCUGCCCUGCACUUCGGGAUAAGCCUGGGAAACUGGGUCUAAUACCGGAUAGGAGCUAUUUUACGAGUGAUGGUUGGAAAGAUUUUUCGGUGUAGGAUGAGCUCGCGGCCUAUCAGCUUGUUGGUGGGGUAAUGGCCUACCAAGGCGGCGACGGGUAGCCGGCCUGGGAGGGUGGACGGCCACAUUGGGACUGAGAUACGGCCCAGACUCCUACGGGAGGCAGCAGUGGAGAGUAUUGCACAAUGGGCGCAAGCCUGAUGCAACGACGCCGCGUGGGGGAUGACGGCCUUCGGGUUGUAAACUCCUUUCGCUAGGGACGAAGCUUUUUGUGACGGUACCUAGAUAAGAAGCACCGGCUAACUACGUG
rnacentral:rRNA from 1 species